GGCAGGUGUGGCCUCAGGUACCUGACCCGCCUCCCCAUGUCUGCAGCGCUCCUUCACCCUCAUCGUGGAGGCCUGGGACUGGGACAACGAUACCACCCCGAAUGAGGAGCUGCUGAUCGAGCGAGUGUCGCAUGCCGGCAUGAUCAACCCGGAGGACCGCUGGAAGAGUCUGCACUUCAGCGGCCACGUGGCGCACCUGGAGCUGCAGAUCCGCGUGCGCUGCGACGAGAACUACUACAGCGCCACCUGCAACAAGUUCUGCCGGCCCCGCAACGACUUUUUCGGCCACUACACCUGCGACCAGUAUGGCAACAAGGCCUGCAUGGACGGCUGGAUGGGCAAGGAGUGCAAGGAAGCUGUGUGUAAACAAGGGUGUAAUUUGCUCCACGGGGGAUGCACCGUGCCUGGGGAGUGCAGGUGCAGCUACGGCUGGCAAGGGAGGUUCUGCGAUGAGUGUGUCCCCUACCCCGGCUGCGUGCAUGGCAGUUGUGUGGAGCCCUGGCAGUGCAACUGUGAGACCAACUGGGGCGGCCUGCUCUGUGACAAAGAUCUGAACUACUGUGGCAGCCACCACCCCUGCACCAACGGAGGCACGUGCAUCAACGCCGAGCCCGACCAGUACCGCUGCACCUGCCCUGACGGCUACUCGGGCAGGAACUGUGAGAAGGCUGAGCACGCCUGCACCUCCAACCCAUGUGCCAACGGGGGCUCUUGCCAUGAGGUGCCGUCCGGCUUCGAAUGCCACUGCCCAUCGGGCUGGAGCGGGCC
rnacentral:sRNA from 1 species